AACUCCCAAACCCCUGUGAACAUACCUUAAUGUUGCCUCGGCGGAUCAGCCCGCGCCCCGUAAAACGGGACGGCCCGCCAGAGGACCCAAACUCUAAUGUUUCUUAUUGUAACUUCUGAGUAAAACAAACAAAUAAAUCAAAACUUUCAACAACGGAUCUCUUGGUUCUGGCAUCGAUGAAGAACGCAGCAAAAUGCGAUAAGUAAUGUGAAUUGCAGAAUUCAGUGAAUCAUCGAAUCUUUGAACGCACAUUGCGCCCGCUGGUAUUCCGGCGGGCAUGCCUGUUCGAGCGUCAUUUCAACCCUCAAGCCCCCGGGUUUGGUGUUGGGGAUCGGCUCUGCCUUCUGGCGGUGCCGCCCCCGAAAUACAUUGGCGGUCUCGCUGCAGCCUCCAUUGCGUAGUAGCUAACACCUCGCAACUGGAACGCGGCGCGGCCAUGCCGUAAAACCCCAACUUCUGAAUGUUGACCUCGGAUCAGGUAGGAAUACCCGCUGAACUUAAGCAUAUCAAUAAGCGGAGGAAAAG
rnacentral:rRNA from 1 species